rnacentral:rRNA from 1 species
GAUGAACGCUGGCGGCGUGCCUAAUACAUGCAAGUCGCGCGAAGCGGGGACGGGUGCGUAACCCGUGGAUAACCUCAUAUAAGACUGGGAUAACUUCGGGAAACCGGCGCUAAACCGUAUACUUAUAGAUGGAUCCGCGCUGCAUUAGCUAGUUGGUAAGGUAACGUCUUACCCAGGCAACGAUGCAUAGCCGACCUGAGAGGGUGAGCGGCCAUACGAGAACUGAGACCAGGUCCAGACUAUUACGGGAGGCAGCAGUAGGGAAGCUGCGGAAAUGGACGAAAGUCUGACCGAGCAACGCCGCGUGAGUGAGGAAGGUUUUGGGAGCGUAAAACUGUGGUAUUAGAGAAGCGGUAUCUAACCAGAAAGCCACGGCUAACUACGUGCCAGCAGCCGCGGUAAUGC